rnacentral:rRNA from 1 species
GAGUUUGAUCCUGGCUCAGAUUGAACGCUGGCGGCAUGCUUUACACAUGCAAGUCGAACGGUAACGCGGGGGCAACCCUGGCGACGAGUGGCGAACGGGUGAGUAAUACAUCGGAACAUGUCCAAGUCGUGGGGGAUAGCCCGGCGAAAGCCGGAUUAAUACCGCAUGUGCCCGGAAGGGGAAAGUGAGGGACCGCAAGGCCUCACGCGAUUGGGUUGGCCGAUGUCCGAUUAGCUAGUUGGCGGGGUAAGAGCCCACCAAGGCGAUGAUCGGUAGCUGGUCUGAGAGGAUGAUCAGCCACACUGGGACUGAGACACGGCCCAGACUCCUACGGGAGGCAGCAGUGGGGAAUUUUGGACAAUGGGGGCAACCCUGAUCCAGCCAUUCCGCGUGAGUGAAGAAGGCCUCGGUUG